rnacentral:rRNA from 1 species
CUACGGGGCGCUGCCGGUGCGAAAUCUUCACAAUGCCUGAAAGGGUGAUGAGGGGAAUCUGAGUGACUUCGUUUACGCGGAGUCUUUUGUUAAGUCUAAAUAGCUUAUCGAAUAAGGGGUGGGCAAGACGGUUGCCAGCCGCCACGGUAAUAACCGCGCCCCGAGUGGUAGUCACGUUUAUUGGGCCUAAAGCAUCCGUAGCUGGUUUGACAAGUCUUAUGUGAAAUCUCAUAGUAAACUAUGAGGCUUGCAUAAGAAACUGUCUCACUAGGGGCUGGAAGAGGUCAGGGGUACUCUUAGGGUAAGGGUAAAAUCUGUUAAUCCUGAGGGGACCACCUGUGGCGAAGGCGCUUGACCAGGACAGACCUGACAGUGAGGGAUGAAAGCUAGGGGAGCGAUCGGGAUUAGAUACCCGUGUAGUC